AGAUUAAGCCAUGCAUGUCUAAGUAUAAGCGUUAUACUGKGAAACUGCGAAUGGCUCAUUAAAUCAGCAAUAGUUUCUUUGGUGGUGUUUACUACAUGGAUAACCGUAGUAAUUCUAGAGCUAAUACAUGCGUAAAUCUCGACUCRCGAAGAGACGUAUUUAUUAGAUAAAGACCGACCUCGUUCUGCGGUGAAUCAUGAUAACUUCACGGACCGCAUGGCCUCGUGCCGGCGGUGUUCCAUUCAAAUUUCUGCCCUAUCAACUUUCGACGGUAGGAUAGAGGCCUACCGUGGUGUUCACGGGUGACGGAGAAUUAGGGUUCGAUUUCGGAGAGGGAGCCUGAGAAACGGCUACCACAU
rnacentral:rRNA from 1 species